rnacentral:sRNA from 1 species
UAUUACUGAUGGCCUUUUUACAGUCACUAUUUUGUCCUAAAUUAAUUUCUGACUUUCUUACAUUACUUUCUGGUAUGUUUUCAGGAACAGAAUUUUUGUUAUGACAUUUGAAAUUAUCAAAGUGGUUUCUUUAUAGAACAAUAUUAGAGAAUCUUAGAGAUUUGAGAAGGUUCUUAGAGAUACUAAAUAGCUCUUUAAUGUAUCAUGGUGAUAAAUAUACAUUUUAUCACAAUAGAUGACAUGUCUUUUUUUAAGUGAGAAAACAUAUGCAGUAUAAAAUAUUCUUAUACAUAAUAUAUUCUUACAAGAUAAAUUUGUUUUUAUAUGUAUAUUUUCAGUGAAAGAGUUUCUAGCCAAAGCCAAAGAAGACUUUUUGAAAAAAUGGGAGAAUCCAACUCAGAAUAAUGCCGGACUUGAAGAUUUUGAAAGGAAAAAAACCCUUGGAACAGGUUCAUUUGGAAGAGUCAUGUUGGUAAAACACAAAGCCACUGAACAGUAUUAUGCCAUGAAGAUCUUAGAUAAGCAGAAGGUUGUUAAAC